rnacentral:rRNA from 1 species
GUGAGGAAUUUUCCGCAAUGGGCGAAAGCCUGACGGAGCAAUGCCGCGUGAAGGAUGAAGGCCUAUGGGUUGUAAACUUCUUUUCUCAGAGAAGAAUAUUGACGGUAUCUGAGGAAUAAGCAUCGGCUAACUCUGUGCCAGCAGCCGCGGUAAGACAGAGGAUGCAAGCGUUAUCCGGAAUGAUUGGGCGUAAAGCGUCUGUAGGUGGCUUCAAAAGUCUCCUGUCAAAGAUCAGGGCUUAACCCUGGGCCGGCAGGAGAAACUCUGAGGCUAGAGUUUGGUAGGGGCAGAGGGAAUUCCCGGUGGAGCGGUGAAAUGCGUAGAGAUCGGGAGGAACACCAAAGGCGAAAGCACUCUGCUGGGCCACAACUGACACUGAGAGACGAAAGCGAGGGGAGCAAAAGGGAUUAGAUACCCUUGUAGUCC